CCUGCUUCAGAUUCUGUGUGUCCCUCUCUCUAUCCCUCCCCUGCUCGCGCGCUUUCGCUCUCUCUCAAAAAUAAACAUUAAAAAAAAAUUAGUAUUCAGUGGCCAAAAAUUAAGAUCCCUUCAGAUUAGAGAAAGAUCCUCAAAACUAAAGUUGGACUGGCAAUUAGAUUGGGAAGGAAGAUACAGCUCCAUCCGGAUAUGCACAAUAGAUUUUGUCUUCCCAGGUUGCUUAUUAAUGCUGUGGGCAGCCCCUUCUCUUUGUUAGAACAUCUCCUAGACUGGAAACAUGAUGUUACAGCAACCAGCUCACCGUAAAGUUGGAGAGUAUUAAAUUUCUUUUAUGGAACUUUUAAAAACUUACUGAUUUUUGUGAUAUAAAAAAUAUGUUUAUCAUUGAAAUUUAGGAAAUUACUAAAUGUAAAGAAGGAAAACCACUAUUAACUAACUGAUGAGACUUAAUUCAUUUUGUUUUUCCUGACUUUCUUCUGUUACCCCACAUGGGAAAGCCCAGAAAAAAAAAAAAAAGGAUACAGCCAUUCUCAUUAUGUUUUACCAUAUGUGUGGAGGACUGAGGUGUGAGCCUGUGUCCCGACCUUACUGAGAUUCCCUCAAGCCGUGCCCUUUUCCAGGCGGACAGUCUGAAAAUAAUUCUCUUGAUGUGUAUCUUUUAAGCCUGAACUAAGGAUGUCGAGUAGUACCCAGAAGCCUAUAGGGAGCUGCCUUGUUCAGUUUAGUGGAAACUUCAUCUCAAAAAUUCAUUUUGAUCUUUUAAGCCCCUUAUGCACCAUUAUGGACGUUUGAAGCAUAUUCAUACCCACAAAGAACUUUGUUUAGGUGGACUUUUUAAUAUGACCAUAAGAAAACCCACACUCAAAAAGAAUGAAGUACUUUCAAAGGCCAAAGGAAAAGCGGAGAAAAAACAAAGCAAAAGCAAAACAGAUGAAAUGAACCUAAAUGUGAAUUAGGAGUCCUGGAAACCAGAGUUCCCUUACCACACUUGGACAAAUGUCUCCCCCUAAAAGUGUAGUUCUCUGCUUCCCAGGUAGGAUUCAGAAGUUUUGUGUUUCAUAGGAGACUUUUCUUCUUAGUGUGUAAAGCAGAAAGCUGCAGCCCUUUCAAGGUUCUACUCUUUCCUUUACUCUUCCUCUUCUGUGGCAACAUGGCUUAGGGCUAUAUCCUAAAGGACCUAAAUCUGAAACAAAUCAUGAGGGGGCUGUGGAGCAACAGCGUGAGCUGGUUGGAGCUCUCUUCUCUCAUCCUUGGCGUUCCAGGUUGUGUUAGAACCUGGGUUCUGCAAUCUUCCCCAGUCCCCUCAUGAUCCUCUUCGGUUUAUCUUAUUUUUUGCCCAGUCUGUAUGGACUCUUAGGGGUUUUUUCUCUUCUUUUUUUUAGUACAAGUAGUUUUCUGAUCCCAGGUUUGGUGAAUGUGUUAACACUGCUUUGUGAAUAAACGAGUGAUCUGCUGAACAGUUGCAAUUGUAGAAUUCUGUUGUAUGUAAUGUACAUAUGGAGAAAGAAUGUAUUUUGUUCAUUUUCUUAAUAAAAAGUUAUAUAUGGACACUA